UACACACUAUAAUUAUGCCCACCUAUGAGAUAGGAAAAGUGAAGCUGAGAGAGGUAAGUUGACACAGCCAAGUUCACAUGGUUGGGAAGGGGUAUCAGUAAGAUUCAAAUCCAGGACAUUUUGGUGGCAAAGCCUAUACCCACACCUCGCUCCACACUUCUCUGAGGCCUCUGCCUAUUCCAAAGGGGUGUGGAUUCAAUAGCUCAUCUACCUGUCAUUUACCAACCCUGUGACCUCAGAUGAACAGACCAUUUAAAUCUUAGCCUGAAACUCAUUUGGAAGAUGAACCUUUCCUCACCUGACAUGCCAACCAAGGUCACCCAGUUACAGGUGUCAAAGCAACCUCGUAAAAUUCAGGCCACUUGGAAGAACUCAUUCAGGGGCUCUUUUCACCUCCACACUGGACCCCCAUGGGAGAGGGAAUCGCAUCUGACUGGCAUCCUGCUGCAUCCCUGCACAACGGGGAAUCAGAAGCAAGGAAUGGAAUUAAAGAUGGGGAAAUGUAGGUUAUGCUUACAUUUCCCAGGCUCCCUUACAGCUUAGUUACACAUGCUAAGUGUACAACUAUUGGAUAUGAAUGGCUUGUGGAACUUCUGCAACACUGUCAAGCCACUGGCCCUGAAGAGCUUCUAUUUCCUUUCCUAUGAUCAGUAUCACAGAGCGAUCACACAAUGAGGACAAAGCCUUAAGAAAUGCACAGCAAUAACAUGAAAAAAGGAACCUGGGUCCAUGAAUGGCUCCAUGAAGCAGAGCAGCCCACCAGCCUCAGUUGCUCA